UACGUAGGGUGCAAGCGUUGUCCGGAAUUAUUGGGCGUAAAGAGCUCGUAGGCGGUCUGUCGCGUCUGCUGUGAAAACUCAGGGCUUAACCCUGAGCUUGCAGUGGGUACGGGGCAGACUAGAGUGCGGUAGGGGAGACUGGAAUUCCUGGUGUAGCGGUGGAAUGCGCAGAUAUCGUAAGGAAGACCAGUGGCGAAGGCGGGUCUC
rnacentral:rRNA from 1 species